ACGUCAAAGUUAUCAAAACGGGGAAGUCUCGUUCUCCCUUGUCUCUCAUUACGUCAAACGUGUUGGCGUAAGUUGGUGUUCUGUGUCGUCGUUCAGAUUUGGGUUUUUAAUCAAAUAUAUUAAUUCAAAUAUUUCUAAGAUACCUAAUUGAUCACAAGAACCAAAUUUUUUCAAAGGUCUGCAGUUAUGGACAAGUCAACUUUGUUGAAACUGGGUCUUGGUGCUACUGUGGCUGUCGCAGCGCCUCCUACUGCACUGUACUUUCUGGGUUUCACUUCCGCUGGCGUGGCAGCAGGUUCGGUCGCGGCCGUGGUGCAGAGUAAGAUCGGACUGGUGACGGCUGGAAGUGCUUUUGCAGCCUGUCAGAGCAUGGGUGCUGCCGGAUUGGCAGCAGGAACGAAAGUCGGUCUCGGAUGUAUUGGAGCCAUUGCUGCUAAGAAAAUUUUCUAAUCUGUGAAAAUUUGAACUUUUGAUGGCAGAUAUUUAAAAAAAUUUUUUGGUGUAUCACAUUCGAUAAAAAUUUCGGAAUUGAAUGUGAAUAAAUUAACCACAUUUAUGAAAAGCAAAUGGCCUUAUAUAAACAUAUUAAAAAUUUUGUAGAAUGUUCCACACAUUAUUUAUUAUUUGUCAUAUCUACAAAUUAUUAUGUAUUUUUAAUAUAUUAUUUAUACCAUUUAUUAUAUGCUUCGUCAGUCUAUUUUGAACCAUUUAUUUCAUUUUUUCCUGAUAAUUGGUGCUUUAGAUUUUAAUACACAUUCGAAAAAUGUUGAAAAAAAACAUUAAAAAUUAAAAAAAAAAAUCUGUGUUUUCUUAGGCAGACAUUUGGCCAUAUAUUGUAAUAUAUAAUAAAUUUUAUUCAUUUAAAAUUUUUGAAUUUAAAAAGUAUUUUAUUUAAUAUUAUAUGAAUUUAAAAAAAAAACACGUUCUUCUUGCCAUCAAACGAUGCCAGGACUAAAGAUGAUUUAAUAAUUUUCCAAAAUAUUCUGUUUUAUUGAAUAUCAGAUUGCAUGAACGCAGUAGUCAAGAAAAUUUCGAAAAUCACGAUUUUUUUUUUUUUUUUUUUUUUUUUUUUUAGCGAGACUGCUUUUUUAUGGAGAAGAUUAAGAAUGAUAUGCUGGAAAAAAAACCCAUUUGAAUUUAAAAAUCUGCUACUGCCUAAACAGAAAAACUUAUUAACACUUUGCACUCUGAUGGUGAGUGAGAGUCAUCAUUCAAGACGGUGCAUCAUUUUAACGUUUAAUUAAUAAUUUUUUUAAAAAAUUUUUAUUCUUAAAAUUGCUUACAAUGUUGUAAAAAGAUGUAGAUUACUUUAUCGGGGAAAUACAACUUAAAACAAAUAUAUAUUUUUAUAUUUUGGAGUACUAAACAAGUUAAGUAUUAGGGAGAAUAACUAUGCAUCGAAUUACUUUACCGAGCGCAAAGAGCUAAAUAAUAUUCACCAAUCUGUGUCAUUAAAUUUUUAAUGCACUAUUUUAUAAAUGCGAUUUUGUCAGUUAAUCAAUCGUAGAAUUAAUAUCAAUGAAUUAGAAUUUCUCUCUUUUUCUGUUAAGAAGAAAAAUGUUCUGUAUGGAGAAGAGCAUAUGAUUAUUAAUUAGAAUUGGGCAUGCUGCAUUUUGGAUUCGAAAUUUUGCAUAGAAAGACUGAAGAAUUCGUAUACAAACAGCUUGAGAUCCUGUAUUUAGCAAUGGCAAGCAGCGUUUUUCUUGAUAAAUUCAAGAAUUUUAUAUGUCUCGGAUGGUAUUUUGAUUAUAAACUCGACGAGUUUUUUGAUACAUUGGCAGCUAUGAACCGAAAUAGAUUCAAAUGCCAUGCAUUAAAACGUUAAAAAGUCCUAUUUAAUGUGGACAUAUUCUUUUUUUGUUUACUGGUAAAAUACAUCCUCCAUACCUAAAUUAGAAAACUCUAUCUUAGUCUUAUCGAUUGAAGGGGUAGAGACUGUAAAAUACCAUCCAAUCCCCCCCCCCAAUGAUAUUCUUUCGUCCUUUAAUUGCUGUGAUGCAUGCAUUCUUUGAGAGUGUUAUCUUAUUUUUUAAUAUUGAAAAUUUUUAGUUUGUGGUAUAGUAAUAAAUGUUCUUUCAUUUUUAUUUUUUGUAUUGAAAUGAUAUUGUCUUAUCCACGAAAUCCUGUGAUUCUUGUAUUCCUCUAAAGUGUUAUUAUUACCUUUAAUACUGAAAAUGCUCUUAUGAAAAUGGUAUGUAAAAAUGUUCUUCCUUUAUGUGAUGCUAUGGCAACUUUUUUGUAAACAUUCUUGCAUUUUAAUAAAUUUUUCUUUCAAA